GUAUCCGCGCAUGCAUGGUCGGUCAAGUGGCGCAUUGUUUACAUUACUUUGCUAGUUAACGAACGACAUGGAUAACGUAAUAUAUACUAAUCUAGCCGUGCUUGUUGACAUGAGAGAACAGCAUCCCUCCCAAAUUCAAAGAUGCAUUGUGUUGGAUGAGCGGCAUCACAACUUGUAUGGAGGCCCAGAAUUUUUAACAACGUGCUUGAUGUAAGCCUGCAGUGCCUGCCGUUGUUCAUCGAUGAUGUUAAUGUUUUCAGCGAUGGUGACUUUAAGCUGCAUGAUGCUAUCAGAAAAUGGAUCCGGCUAUAGAGCAUUUUAAAGUGAAAGGAAUGCCAAGAUUGCAGCUUAUAACUUGCACCAGCCUUUUCAAAAAGCAACACUGCUGAACCACCCGUGACUAAAAGUGGGGCUGCUGCAGGGACACAACUGAAAGGACUACUGUGUACUGACACAAACAAGGAUGGAAGCAGAUUACUAAUGAAACCAUUUUAAAGAAAAGAAGUCAGGUUACAUGAGCAGUAUAGAAACUACACAUUGUACACUGUAUGAAAUGCUGAGGCCUUCUCAAGUCUGGGACACUAGUCAGUUGCUUAAAGUGUUUCAUCAAAUAUUCUAUUGUAAGUUUUGACCAAUCACCUAAAAACAAGAUUUUAUUCUUUUUGACCACCAGGAUAUGAUCUUAAUAAACAGUUGUACAUUAU